rnacentral:rRNA from 1 species
UGAACGCUGGCGGCGUGCUUAACACAUGCAAGUCGAACGAAGCACCUCUAAUCGAAGAUUGAGAAGCUGCUUUGAUUGAUUCACCUUGAGGUGACUGAGUGGCGGACGGGUGAGUAACGCGUGGGUAACCUACCCUAUACAGGGGGAUAACAGUUGGAAACGACUGCUAAUACCGCAUAAGCGCACAGGACCGCAUGGUCUAGUGUGAAAAACUCCGGUGGUAUAGGAUGGACCCGCGUCUGAUUAGCUAGUUGGUGAGGUAACGGCUCACCAAGGCGACGAUCAGUAGCCGACCUGAGAGGGUGACCGGCCACAUUGGGACUGAGACACGGCCCAAACUCCUACGGGAGGCAGCAGUGGGGAAUAUUGCACAAUGGGCGAAAGCCUGAUGCAAGCGACGCCGCGUGAACGAAGAAGUAUUUCGGUAUGUAAAGUUCUAUCAGCAGGGAAGAAAAAUGACGGUACCUGACUAAGAAGCUCCGGCUAAAUACGUGCCAGCAGCAGC